CCUACGGGAGGCAGCAGUGGGGAAUAUUGCACAAUGGGCGAAAGCCUGAUGCAGCGACGCCGCGUGAGGGAUGACGGCCUUCGGGUUGUAAACCUCUUUCAGCAGGGAAGAAGCGAGAGUGACGGUACCUGCAGAAGAAGCGCCGGCUAACUACGUGCCAGCAGCCGCGGUAAUACGUAGGGCGCAAGCGUUGUCCGGAAUUAUUGGGCGUAAAGAGCUCGUAGGCGGCUUGUCACGUCGGGUGUGAAAGCCCGGGGCUUAACCCCGGGUCUGCAUUCGAUACGGGCUAGCUAGAGUGUGGUAGGGGAGAUCGGAAUCCCUGGUGUAGCGGUGAAAUGCGCAGAUAUCAGGAGGAACACCGGUGGCGAAGGCGGAUCUCUGGGCCAUUACUGACGCUGAGGAGCGAAAGCGUGGGGAGCGAACAGGAUUAGAUACCCUGGUAGUCCACGCCGUAAACGGUGGGAACUAGGUGUUGGCGACAUUCCACGUCGUCGGUGCCGCAGCUAACGCAUUAAGUUCCCCGCCUGGGGAGUACGGCCGCAAGGCUAAAACUCAAAGGAAUUGACGG
rnacentral:rRNA from 1 species